rnacentral:rRNA from 1 species
CCUACGGGUGGCAGCAGUGAGGAAUAUUGGUCAAUGGACGCGAGCCUGAACCAGCCAAGUAGCGUGAAGGAUGACUGCCCUACGGGUUGUAAACUUCUUUUAUACAAGAAUAAAGUGAGGCACGUGUGCCUUUUUGUAUGUACUUUAUGAAUAAGGAUCGGCUAACUCCGUGCCAGCAGCCGCGGUAAUACGGAGGAUCCGAGCGUUAUCCGGAUUUAUUGGGUUUAAAGGGUGCGUAGAUGGGUGGUUAAGUCAGUUGUGAAAGUUUGCGGCUCAACCGUAAAAUUGCAAGUGAUACUGGCAGUCUUGAGUACAGUUGAGGUAGGCGGAAUGCGUGGUGUAGCGGUGAAAUGCUUAGAUAUCACGAAGAACUCCGAUUGCGAAGGCAGCUUACUAAACUGCCACUGACAUUGAUGCUCGAAAGUGUGGGGAGCAAACAGGAUUAGAUACCCUAGUAGUC